AGGACAAAACGCUCGAUCGCGGGGUUCCUCCGACGGCGAUGGCGACAUUUUCGACCAUUGACGCGGUAUUUGUCUUGUGAAAAGUCGCGCUAUACCUUGAUUAAAGCGUUAGGGUGAUGUUUUUGCUAUUUUUUUGAGCCAUGAAGUAAGAUUCGGCA
rfam:Salmonella enterica subsp. arizonae serovar 62:z4,z23:--, complete genome.